GACGAACGCUGGCGGCGUGCUUAACACAUGCAAGUCGAACGGAAAGGCCCUGCUUUUGUGGGGUGCUCGAGUGGCGAACGGGUGAGUAACACGUGAGUAACCUGCCCUUGACUUUGGGAUAACUUCAGGAAACUGGGGCUAAUACCGGAUAGGAGCUCCUGCUGCAUGGUGGGGGUUGGAAAGUUUCGGCGGUUGGGGAUGGACUGGCGGCUUAUCAGCUUGUUGGUGGGGUAGGGGCUUACCAAGGCUUUGACGGGUAGCCGGCCGGGGAGGGUGACCGGCCACCUUGGGCCUGAGAUACGGCCCAGACUCCUACGGGAGGCAGCAGUGGGGAAUAUUGCACAAUGGGCGGAAGCCUGAUGCAGCAACGCCGCGUGCGGGAUGCCGGCCUUCGGGUUGUAAACCGCUUUCGCCUGUGACGAAGCGUGAGUGACGGUAAUGGGUAAAGAAGCACCGGCUAACUACGUG
rnacentral:rRNA from 1 species